AGUGAACGCUGGCGGUAGGCCUAACACAUGCAAGUCGAACGGCAGCACAGUAAGAGCUUGCUCUUACGGGUGGGGAGUGGCGGACGGGUGAGGAAUACAUCGGAAUCUACUUUUUCGUGGGGGAUAACGUAGGGAAACUUACGCUAAUACCGUAUACGACCUACGGGUGAAAGCAGGGGAUCUUCGGACCUUGCGCGAUUGAAUGAGCCGAUGUCGGAUUAGCUAGUUGGCGGGGUAAAGGCCCACCAAGGCGACGAUCCGUAGCUGGUCUGAGAGGAUGAUCAGCCACACUGGAACUGAGACACGGUCCAGACUCCUACGGGAGGCAGCAGUGGGGAAUAUUGGACAAUGGGCGCAAGCCUGAUCCAGCCAUACCGCGUGGGUGAAGAAGGCCUACGGGUUGUAAAGCCCUUUUGUUGGGAAAGAAAAGCAGCAGGUUAAUACCCCGCUGUUCUGACGGUACCCAAAGAAUAAGCACCGGCUAACUUCGUG
rnacentral:rRNA from 1 species